rnacentral:tRNA from 1 species
GCGCGAGUGGUGUAAUCGGUAGCCACACGGCCCUUAAAAGGCUGUGCCCGCAAGGGCGUGCGGGUUCGAGUCCCGCCUCGCGCA